GGCUCAGUGGUCUAGUGGUAUGAUUCCCGCUUUGGGAGCGGGAGGUCCCGGGUUCGAUCCCCGGCUGAGCCC